rnacentral:rRNA from 1 species
UCGGGAAUUUUGGGCAAUGGGGGAAACCCUGACCCAGCAACGCCGCGUGAAGGAUGAAGUAUUUCGGUAUGUAAACUUCGAAAGAAUAGGAAGAAUAAAUGACGGUACUAUUUAUAAGGUCCGGCUAACUACGUGCCAGCAGCCGCGGUAAUACGUAGGGACCAAGCGUUGUUCGGAUUUACUGGGCGUAAAGGGCGCGUAGGCGGCAUGACAAGUCACUUGUGAAAUCUCUGGGCUUAACCCAGAACGGCCAAGUGAUACUGUCGCGCUAGAGUGCAGAAGGGGCAAUCGGAAUUCUUGGUGUAGCGGUGAAAUGCGUAGAUAUCAAGAGGAACACCUGAGGUGAAGACGGGUUGCUGGGCUGACACUGACGCUGAGGCGCGAAAGCCAGGGGAGCAAACGGGGAUUAGAUACCCAUGUAGUCCCUGAGCGGGCUGGCAAGGCGCAU